rnacentral:tRNA from 1 species
AAUUUUUUAGUAUAAACAGUACGUUUGGCUUCCAACUAAAUGGUCUAAUUCCCUUAGAAAAAUUA